rnacentral:rRNA from 1 species
GGUGAACGCUGGCGGCGUGCCUAACACAUGCAAGUCGAGCGGUGCAGUUUGAAGCUUCGGUGGAAAGCUGCAUAGCGGCGGACGGGUGAGGAAAACGUAGGAACGUGCCCCUUGGAGUUGGAUAGCCACGGGAAACUGUGGGUAAACCGACAUAGACUCGAGAGAGUAAAGGCCGAAAGGCGCCAAGGGAGCGGCCUGCGGCCCAUCAGGUAGUUGGUAGUGUAAAGGACUACCAAGCCGACGACGGGUAGCCGGUCUGAGAGGAUGGCCGGCCACAAGGGCACUGAGAGACGGGCCCUACUCCUACGGGAGGCAGCAGUGGGGGAUUUUGGACAAUGGGCGAAAGCCUGAUCCAGCGACGCCGCGUGGAGGACGAAGGCCCCUUCGGGGUGGUAAACUCCUUUUCUCAGGGAAAAAGGAUGAUGGUACCUGAGGAAUAAGACCCGGCUAACUACGUGCCAGCAGCCCGGUAAUGCUACGUAGA